rnacentral:tRNA from 1 species
GGAGGAGUGGCUGAGUGGUUGAAAGCGGCGGUCUUGAAAACCGUUAGGGCCGCAAGGUCCUCGCAGGUUCGAAUCCUGCCUCCUCCG